AAGUCGUAACAAGGUUUCCGUAGGUGAACCUGCGGAAGGAUCAUUAACACGUAUCCAACGUUAAACAACCCUGUGAACUUUAAGUCCCCUCUUGCAGCCCAUGAGGAACAGCAAUCCCGGUAAAUCAUUGCCAAACAGUUUUGAUUCGGGACCUCUGUCCAAAAGGAGUUGCAAUCGAAGGGUGGAAGCAGUGGCAUGGCUUCCCCAAGCAGUUAGUGAAUGACAGUGUCACUGACUGUGUAAGGAUAACGCCUCACGGUUGCUAGAGGUCGAUCACCGACCGGCAGACAUGUCACAGCCACUUGAAAAUGCCCCGCCUAGUGGUAACGCGCUAGGUAAAAAAAACCGAACAACUGUUAACAAUGGAUAUCUUGGUUCUC
rnacentral:misc_RNA from 1 species